GUAGUGUUGGGACUGCAGGCAUUAAACACUCCACGUUUACCCACCGAGUGAGGCAGGGCCGAGCCUGGCGAAUCCCAUCAACAGAGGCAAAGAAACAACAUUGUGAACACCAAAUGCAGUACAAUUGGUGGGAAGAAGUGCAAGUGAAUCACCGCUUCACCUGAAAAGACUGCCUGCCUCCCUAGGUGAUGACGAGGGAGGAGGUGAAUGGACAGCAGCCUGAACAGCUCUCCUUAAACUUCAACUGGCCACUUGAACGCCCAGGAAUGAAGGAGAUUACAAAAAGUGGUGAAUAUUGCCUGGUCCUGACUCCUCUAACAUCGAACAGAUCUGUGGGAGGUGCUGUCACAAAAAGGCAGCCAGCAUCAUCGAGGACCCACAUCACCCUGAACACGCUCUCAUUUCACUCCUGCCAUUGGGAAGAAGUUAAAGGAGUCCGAAAACUGUGAUCUCCAGGUUCAGGAACAGGUCCUGCCCAACAACCAUCAGGCUAUUGAACACUAUCAAACUCCAACUAAACUAUGAACUGCUUGGCUUGCACUGGGGACUUUGUGCUUUUGCACAAUAUUGUGGGUUUUUUAACUAAUUAAAUGUUUAUUUAUUUAUUAAUUAAAUACAUGUUUAAUGUUGAUGUUUGUCUAUUGCUUUACAAUUGUUUACUUAUGUUUGGUUACUUCAUAUAUGAAGUUUGUAUGUGUAUAAUAGUUGUAUAUAUAUAUAUGUCUGUAGGUAUUAUGGGAAAUUGCCUGGGGUAGUAUUAUUAUUAUUAAUUAAUUGAUUUUUAAAUAUGGUAGAAGUGUUGGGGAAAAGGGGUGAGAUUUAAUAAGUUAUUCUUCUUCUCACUCCUUUUCGAGCUUGUACAGACACAGAGUUGGACAUUGGAAAUUUGCUUUUUGUUCUUUUCAUUGCUUGUAAAUAUUGAUUGUAAUGUCCAAUUGCUUGAUAAUUUCGAUUUUGUUACUAUUAAUGUCUUUAAUGUCUUUACUUGUUCGGAA